UACGAAGGGGGCGAGCGUUGUCCGGAUUUAUUGGGCGUAAAGAGCGUGUAGGCGGCCUGAAAGGUCAGCUGUGAAAACUCGAGGCUCAACCUCGAGACGUCGGUUGAAACCAUCUGGCUAGAGUCCGGAAGAGGAGUGUGGAAUUCCCGGUGUAGCGGUGAAAUGCGCAGAUAUCGGGAAGAACACCCGUGGCGAAGGCGGCACUCUGGGACGGUACUGACGCUGAGACGCGAAAGCGUGGGGAGCGAACAGG
rnacentral:rRNA from 1 species